rnacentral:lncRNA from 1 species
CUUCAAUCUGUUUGAGCAUAGGACAAACCAAAAGCCAUGUGUCCCAUCUCCACUGAAUUGAUGUGUAAGAGGUCAGAAAGAGCAACAGCUUUUUGAAGAUUGAUUAAUAAAGAACAUGAUGAUGAGCCUAAGUUCAAAAAGGAAGAGAGAUGAAUGCUGACUGGAUUUCAGGAUUGGCUGCAAAAGCUGUACUGUAGAAGACCUCACUCACUUUUAAGGGGAGUUGCCUCUUUUGAAGAGCUGAAAGUAGGCAGAAUUCCCAGAUUUUCCAGCACCAGAUCUUCCUUGGCUAUUUGGACUUAUUUUGCAGUCAUGUUAGCCAUCAUCCAUGUUGUUUGUUUCUUUCUGUUUAGCAUGAUUUCACUAAUAGUCAAAAUUUGCUAGCCCAGAUAGUGUCCCUGAUGCUUUUGCCUGAAACAUCUCUGUGGAAUGUCACUGAAAAAAAGGAAAUAGAAGAAAAAAAAAAAAAAAAGUGAUUCAGAACAUAAUUUGGCUGACAAAAGCAAUGAAGCAAUAACCAUUCAACUCCAUGCAUGGAAAGGUUUUUGCUGUGGGACAUGGAGUCUACUGGGCUGUUCUUUGUGAGAAGAGUCUAGAAGCUGCCCAUUAUAGAUACAAGCCAGUUCCAUCUGCUGCUGUCCAAAGCAGAGCCAGUGAGAGAUGCUGAUUUUGCCUCUGUAAGAGCAUAUCUAAGAAAGGAGAAAAAAUCUGCUGUGCAGCAGCAGCUGGGAGAAAUGAGUGAGAAAAUGUAGAGUGAAAUAAUUCUGCAGAUGCAAAGAUCAGUGCAGAAGGAGGGGGAGGAGGUGCUCCAGAUACAGAAGCAGAAGUACCCUGCAGCCUGUGUGACACCUAUAGCAGGCUGUCUCCCUGCAGCCCGUGGGCACCACAUGAAACAGAUCUCCACACUGAGUCCCAUGGAGGAGCCCACAGGGGUGCAGGUGAAUGCAACCCACUGAAGGCCCAUAGAGGAGAAGAUUCUGUGACAAACCUGCAGCUUUUGGAGAGGAGUCCAUGGUGGAGCAAGAGGUCUGAGAGAGCUAUCACCCAUGGGGGACCCAUGCUGGAACUCACUGUUCUUGAAGGAUGGCCUCCAUGCUACAGUCCCAUCAAGGAGCAGUUACUGAAGAAAUACAGCCUGUGGUAAGCUGAUGUUGGAUUAGUUUAGGAGAGAUGGCAUCCCAUGGGAGAUAAUGUAUGCUGGAGCAGAGGAAGAGAGUGAAGAUGAAGGAGCAGCAAAAAUGAAGCAUUACAGACUGACCAUAGCCCAUUCUCCCUGCUUCCUUGUUCUGCAGUGGGAGAGGAGUAAGAAGAAGGUGUUUUUAUUUUGCUUUAAUUUCUCACUGUUCUAGUUUCCUAUUAAUAGCAAAUAAAUUAUAUUAAUCUCCUUACACUGAGUCAUUUUGCUCACGACAAUAACUGUUAAGUAAGUGGUCUUCCUAUCCUUAUCUAACCCUUGAGCUCUUGUCCGUUGUAUUUUCUUCCCUUCUUCCUUUGGAAUAAAUAAAUAACUAAAUAAAUGAAAAGAUAGCUUUGAUGACUUUCAAGAAUCAUCUUUUCUAGGUUCAUUUAGACUUAAUGCAAAAAUAAUAAUAAUUGUUUGAAAUAGCAUCUUGUAUUCAGCUAAAAAAAAUAUAUCCUAAAAGAACAAAACAGGUACUUAGAAAUGGUACUUAGUAUUUUGUCAGAGCAUGCAACUCACAAACUCACAUCAGUGCAGUAUAACUGUUUUUAGACAUGGAGGCAAAGACAGACA